GUGUUGUUUGGAAGGAGAGCAAGUUAGCACUCCCCUAGACAAGGAUGGAACACACAAACGAGCGGCUUGGCACAAGACAAGGUCGUUCACAAGUUUUU
rnacentral:ncRNA from 1 species